AACUCUGGUAUUGAUUGGUGCUUGCAUCAUGAUUUACAUUUGAGUGAGUGGCGAACUGGUGAGUAACACGUGGGAAACCUGCCCAGAAGCGGGGGAUAACACCUGGAAACAGAUGCUAAUACCGCAUAACAACUUGGACCGCAUGGUCCGAGCUUGAAAGAUGGCUUCGGCUAUCACUUUUGGAUGGUCCCGCGGCGUAUUAGCUAGAUGGUGGGGUAACGGCUCACCAUGGCAAUGAUACGUAGCCGACCUGAGAGGGUAAUCGGCCACAUUGGGACUGAGACACGGCCCAAACUCCUACGGGAGGCAGCAGUAGGGAAUCUUCCACAAUGGACGAAAGUCUGAUGGAGCAACGCCGCGUGAGUGAAGAAGGGUUUCGGCUCGUAAAACUCUGUUGUUAAAGAAGAACAUAUCUGAGAGUAACUGUUCAGGUAUUGACGGUAUUUAACCAGAAAGCCACGGCUAACUACGUGCCAGCAGCCGCGGUAAUACGUAGGUGGCAAGCGUUGUCCGGAUUUAUUGGGCGUAAAGCGAGCGCAGGCGGUUUUUUAAGUCUGAUGUGAAAGCCUUCGGCUCAACCGAAGAAGUGCAUCGGAAACUGGGAAACUUGAGUGCAGAAGAGGACAGUGGAACUCCAUGUGUAGCGGUGAAAUGCGUAGAUAUAUGGAAGAACACCAGUGGCGAAGGCGGCUGUCUGGUCUGUAACUGACGCUGAGGCUCGAAAGUAUGGGUAGCAAACAGGAUUAGAUACCCUGGUAGUCCAUACCGUAAACGAUGAAUGCUAAGUGUUGGAGGGUUUCCGCCCUUCAGUGCUGCAGCUAACGCAUUAAGCAUUCCGCCUGGGGAGUACGGCCGCAAGGCUGAAACUCAAAGGAAUUGACGGGGGCCCGCACAAGCGGUGGAGCAUGUGGUUUAAUUCGAAGCUACGCGAAGAACCUUACCAGGUCUUGACAUACUAUGCAAAUCUAAGAGAUUAGACGUUCCCUUCGGGGACAUGGAUACAGGUGGUGCAUGGUUGUCGUCAGCUCGUGUCGUGAGAUGUUGGGUUAAGUCCCGCAACGAGCGCAACCCUUAUUAUCAGUUGCCAGCAUUAAGUUGGGCACUCUGGUGAGACUGCCGGUGACAAACCGGAGGAAGGUGGGGAUGACGUCAAAUCAUCAUGCCCCUUAUGACCUGGGCUACACACGUGCUACAAUGGAUGGUACAACGAGUUGCGAACUCGCGAGAGUAAGCUAAUCUCUUAAAGCCAUUCUCAGUUCGGAUUGUAGGCUGCAACUCGCCUACAUGAAGUCGGAAUCGCUAGUAAUCGCGGAUCAGCAUGCCGCGGUGAAUACGUUCCCGGGCCUUGUACACACCGCCC
rnacentral:rRNA from 1 species